AACGAACGCUGGCGGCAUGCCUAACACAUGCCAGUCGAACGAGACCUUCGGGUCUAGUGGCGCACGGGUGCGUAACGCGUGGGAACCUGCCCUUAGGUUCGGAAUAACUCCCCUAAAGGGGUGCUAAUACCGGAUAAUGUCUUCGGACCAAAGAUUUAUCGCCUUUGGAUGGGCCCGCGUUGGAUUAGCUAGUUGGUAGGGUAAAAGCCUACCAAGGCGACGAUCCAUAGCUGGUCUGAGAGGAUGAUCAGCCACACUGGGACUGAGACACGGCCCAGACUCCGACGGGAGGAAGCAGUGGGGAAUAUUGGACAAUGGGCGAAAGCCUGAUCCAGCAAUGCCGCGUGAGUGAUGAAGGCCUUAGGGUUGUAAAGCUCUUUUACCCGGGAUGAUAAUGACAGUACCGGGAGAAUAAGCUCCGGCUAACUCCGUG
rnacentral:rRNA from 1 species